UUUACAAUGAAGAGUUUGAUCCUGGCUCAGGAUGAACGCUAGCUACAGGCUUAACACAUGCAAGUCGAGGGGCAGCAUUUUAGUUUGCUUGCAAACUGAAGAUGGCGACCGGCGCACGGGUGAGUAACACGUAUCCAACCUGCCGAUAACUCCGGAAUAGCCUUUCGAAAGAAAGAUUAAUACCGGAUAGUAUACGAAUAUCGCAUGAUAUUUUUAUUAAAGAAUUUCGGUUAUCGAUGGGGAUGCGUUCCAUUAGUUUGUUGGCGGGGUAACGGCCCACCAAGACUACGAUGGAUAGGGGUUCUGAGAGGAAGGUCCCCCACAUUGGAACUGAGACACGGUCCAAACUCCUACGGGAGGCAGCAGUGAGGAAUAUUGGUCAAUGGGCGAGAGCCUGAACCAGCCAAGUAGCGUGAAGGAUGAAGGCUCUAUGGGUCGUAAACUUCUUUUAUAUGGGAAUAAAGUUUUCCACGUGUGGAAUUUUGUAUGUACCAUAUGAAUAAGGAUCGGCUAACUCCGUGCCAGCAGCCGCGGUAAUACGGAGGAUCCGAGCGUUAUCCGGAUUUAUUGGGUUUAAAGGGAGCGUAGGUGGAUUGUUAAGUCAGUUGUGAAAGUUUGCGGCUCAACCGUAAAAUUGCAGUUGAAACUGGCAGUCUUGAGUACAGUAGAGGUGGGCGGAAUUCGUGGUGUAGCGGUGAAAUGCUUAGAUAUCACGAAGAACUCCGAUUGCGAAGGCAGCUCACUAGACUGUCACUGACACUGAUGCUCGAAAGUGUGGGUAUCAAACAGGAUUAGAUACCCUGGUAGUCCACACAGUAAACGAUGAAUACUCGCUGUUUGCGAUAUACAGUAAGCGGCCAAGCGAAAGCAUUAAGUAUUCCACCUGGGGAGUACGCCGGCAACGGUGAAACUCAAAGGAAUUGACGGGGGCCCGCACAAGCGGAGGAACAUGUGGUUUAAUUCGAUGAUACGCGAGGAACCUUACCCGGGCUUAAAUUGCAACAGAAUAUAUUGGAAACAGUAUAGCCGUAAGGCUGUUGUGAAGGUGCUGCAUGGUUGUCGUCAGCUCGUGCCGUGAGGUGUCGGCUUAAGUGCCAUAACGAGCGCAACCCUUAUCUUUAGUUACUAACAGGUCAUGCUGAGGACUCUAGAGAGACUGCCGUCGUAAGAUGUGAGGAAGGUGGGGAUGACGUCAAAUCAGCACGGCCCUUACGUCCGGGGCUACACACGUGUUACAAUGGGGGGUACAGAAGGCGGCUACCUGGUGACAGGAUGCUAAUCCCAAAAACCUCUCUCAGUUCGGAUCGAAGUCUGCAACCCGACUUCGUGAAGCUGGAUUCGCUAGUAAUCGCGCAUCAGCCAUGGCGCGGUGAAUACGUUCCCGGGCCUUGUACACACCGCCCGUCAAGCCAUGAAAGCCGGGGGUACCUGAAGUACGUAACCGCAAGGAGCGUCCUAGGGUAAAACUGGUAAUUGGGGCUAAGUCGUAACAAGGUAGCCGUACCGGAAGGUGCGGCUGGAACACCUCCUUUCUG
rnacentral:rRNA from 1 species